CCUACGGGUGGCAGCAGUGGGGAAUAUUGGGCAAUGGAGGAAACUCUGACCCAGCAACGCCGCGUGAAUGAUGACGGUCCUCGGAUUGUAAAGUUCUUUUCUAAGGGGAGAAGAAAGUGACGGUACCUUAUGAAUAAGCCUCGGCUAACUACGUGCCAGCAGCCGCGGUAAUACGUAGGAGGCGAGCGUUAUCCGGAAUGACUGGGUGUAAAGGGUGCGUAGGUGGUUUGGCAAGUUAGUAGCGUAACUCCAAGGCUCAACCUUGGAAUUACUACUAAGACUGUUGGACUUGAGAGCAGUAGGGGCAAGCGGAAUGCCUGGUGUAGCGGUGAAAUGCGUAGAUAUUAGGCAGAACACCGGUGGCGAAGGCAGGUUGCUAGGCUAUAACUGACGCUGAGGCACGAAAGCGUGGGGAGCAAACAGGAUUAGAUACCCCUGUAGUC
rnacentral:rRNA from 1 species